rnacentral:sRNA from 1 species
UCUCCUAAUACUGGCUGUGGCACACCUC